rnacentral:tRNA from 1 species
GCGGGUGUGGCGGAACUGGUAGACGCGAUGGACUCAAAAUCCAUUUCUGCAAAGAGUGUCGGUUCGAGUCCGACCACCCGUACCA